rnacentral:lncRNA from 1 species
GUGUAAGGGGGAUUUUUUUUGUACAUGUGCCGUGAAAGAGUUUGAAAUAUGGUAAAAUCCUGAGCAUUUGAGGAGUGUGAGGAUGUUGUGGCCGAUUUUUAGGAGGAUGUUGAGGGAAUUUUGAUUGUUAAGGGAUUUGGGAAUUGAGGGGAGUGUUUUGUGGAGAUUUGGAUGGAGGAGUUUGGAUAGAACCGAAACUAGUAGUGUCAAUUUCGGCUGCCCUUUCUCAUUCCCUAAUUUUUUGAUAGUUUAUCUGUUUCUGCUUUUGGUUUUUCUCUCUGUUUUCAUCUUUUAUUCUUUUUCUUUUUUUUUCUCAAGCAGAAUGAUAAUUGUUUCUUUUCCCAAAUCUCGGUUGCUCCUAAUAUUUUGACGUUUUGAAUUUAUUCUUUUUGCUGUCAAAUUGCUGCCAAAAUUUCUAUUGAAAGUUCUUUCCCUUAUCACCUAUUUUCUUUUCCUAUUUGCUUUCUUG